rnacentral:rRNA from 1 species
UGGUGGAGUGAUUUGUCUGGUUAAUUCCGAUAACGAACGAGACUCUGGCCUACUAAAUAGUGAGCGGAUCUCUGUGUCCGUCGCACUUCUUAGAGGGACAAGUGGCUCUUAGUCACACGAAAUUGAGCAAUAACA